UUUAUACUCUAAUUUUUGUGGAUUUAUCUGAUUUAAAAGAAAAAUCUUUUUUCCUUAGUAAGAAUAAAAAGGAAAUUAUAAAUUACUGAGAAGGAAAAAUUAAAUAUAAUAAAAGUAUAAUUAGUACCUUUUGCAUCAUGGUCCAUGGAAAAAUUAAUAUAUAAUAAUAUCCCGAAUUGAUAAGAUCUAUGGGUUAAUUUAAGUUUAUGUUUCAUAAUAAUUUAUGAUUAACUUAUAGAAGUGAAAAGUUAUACCGUUUAUCAAAAUAUCUGGUUCUUUCGGAAUUAAAUUUAAUUUAUUUUUAAUUAGUAGUUGAUUUUUAACUCACUAUUAAUAAAUUUAAUACUUGAAGGGAUAAGCUUUUAAGUAUUUAAUAUUUCUUACUUAGAUAACAUUUUAUUACGUUUAUUAUAUUAAAAUUUAUAUAAAUUAAUUUAAAUUAAAUACGAAAGAUAAAAAUAUAAUUUUUUAUUUUUUAAUACAAUCAUGGAAUGAGUAGUUACAUACAAAUUUAGUUUAGGAACUCGGCAAAUACUUCUUUGUCUGUUUAACAAAAACAUAGCCUAUAUUAAAACAUUAUAGGUAAAGCCUGCUCACUGAAUAAUUAAAGAGCCGCAGUAUAUAUGACUGUGCAAAGGUAGCAAAAUAAAUUGUAUCUUUAUUGGGUACCGGAAUGAAUGGUUAGACGAAAGAAUAACUUUUUUAAUUAUAAAUAAUGAAAUUAAAUUUUAAGUUCAAAUGCUUAAAUUUAUAUGAAAGACGAGAAGACCCUAUAGAUCUUUACUUAUAAAUAUUUCUGUUAGCUCUAUUUAAAAGUUUAGUUGGGGCAACUAGAAUAUAAAAAAAAUUAUUUUUUAAAAAAAUUUUAUGUAAAGAAUAAUGACCUAUAAUUUAUAACCAAAAGAAAAGUUACCUUAGGGAUAACAGCGUAAUUAUGAGUUAUAAGAUCAAAUUAUAACCUAUGUUUGCGACCUCGAUGUUGAAUUAAGAUUUCUACAGGAGGAAGAAAGUUUGUUAGUUAGUCUGUUCGACUAUUAAAAUCUUACAUGAUUUGAGUUCAGACCGACGUAAGUCAGGUCAGUUUCUAUCUUCAUCCUAAAAAUAUUUACCAGUACGAAAGGACAGAUAAAUUGGUU
rnacentral:rRNA from 1 species